rnacentral:rRNA from 1 species
GAUGAACGCUAGCGGCAGGCCUAAUACAUGCAAGUCGAACGGAUAUAUGUUUUUCGGUAAUAUAUAUUAGUGGCGCACGGGUGAGUAACACGUACAUAACUUGCCCUCAAGCGGGGGAUAGCCUUGGGAAACUGAGAGUAAUACCCCAUAGAAUUAUUGGACGGCAUCGUUUGAUAAUUAAAACUACGGUGUUUGGGGAUAGAUGUGCGUCUGAUUAGCUAGUUGGUGAGGUAACUGCUCACCAAGGCGACGAUCAGUAGGGGGCGUGAGAGCGUGGCCCCCCACACGGGUACUGAGACACGGACCCGACUCCUACGGGAGGCAGCAGUAAGGAAUAUUGGUCAAUGGAGGGAACUCUGAACCAGCCAUGCCGCGUGAAGGAUGACGGCCCUCUGGGUUGUAAACUUCUUUUGGAUGGGGCGAAAAAACGGGAUUUAUCCUGGACUGACGGUACCAUCAGAAUAAGCACCGGCUAACUCCGUGCCAGCAGCCGCGGUAAAG